CGGAGGAAAAGAAACCAACAGGGAUUGCCCCAGUAACGGCGAGUGAAGCGGCAACAGCUCAAAUUUGAAAUCUGGCCCUAGGCCCGAGUUGUAAUUUGCAGAGGAUGCUUUUGGCGCGGUGCCUUCCGAGUUCCCUGGAACGGGACGCCAUAGAGGGUGAGAGCCCCGUACGGUUGGACACCAAGCCUUUGUAAAGCUCCUUCGACGAGUCGAGUAGUUUGGGAAUGCUGCUCAAAAUGGGAGGUAUAUUUCUUCUAAAGCUAAAUAUUGGCCAGAGACCGAUAGCGCACAAGUAGAGUGAUCGAAAGAUGAAAAGCACUUUGAAAAGAGGGUUAAACAGCACGUGAAAUUGUUAAAAGGGAAGCGCUUGUGACCAGACUUGCGCCCGGUGAAUCACCCAGCUCUCGCGGCUGGGGCACUUUGCCGGCACAGGCCAGCAUCAGCUUGCCGUCGGGGACAAAAGCUUCAGGAACGUAGCUCUCUUCGGGGAGUGUUAUAGCCUGUUGCAUAAUACCCUUCGGCGGGCUGAGGUACGCGC
rnacentral:rRNA from 1 species